rnacentral:lncRNA from 1 species
UUUUUAUUUAUCGUUGUUGGUUAUUUUCUAUUGUAUUUUUAUAAUUUUCCAUUAACUCCUUUUCCUUUUAAAUUUUUCCCUUUUUUUUACUUGUUUUUUCAUGUGCUUUCAUAUUUUUUUUCCUUUUUGUUUUAAAAUUUUCUAUAAAACUUUUUUUCUUUUUGUUUUAUUUCAUAUUUUUGCCUCUUCAUUUUUUAUUUUUUCUUGUUUUUCGAAUUUUUUUCACAAAAUUCUUUUAUUUCUUGUUUCCAUUUUUUUUUUUUUUGCACUUCCUUGUUUUGUUUUUAUUUUUAUUUUGUUUUAACUUUUCCCUCUGUUAAUUUUUGUAUCUUUGAUUUUUUUUAUUUUUUUCUUAUUACAUUAUUUUUGCUUGUAUUUUCUAAAUUAAAUUUUUUUCUACUUAGUCAUCCCUUUUCAUUUUUUAACUUCUUUUAAUUUUUUAUCUCUGAUUUUUUAUAUCUUUAUAUCUUAUUAUUUGUUAUAUUUUUUAUUUUUUGUUUGUAUUUUAUAAACUAAAUUUGUUUUCUAUUUUGUCAUUUUUUCUUCGUUUUUGAAAUUUUUAUUAGCUUUUGUAUUUUUACAAUUUUUUCUUUUGACUCGUUAAUUUUUCAUUUCCUCACUUUUUUAUUUUUUUCUCCUUUUUAAUGCUUAUUUUAACUUUUUCCUUUUGCUUUAAUAUUUUCUCUUUUUUUUCCUUUUAUUUUUUAUUUUUUGUUAUUUUUGUUUUUUUAUAAAAAUUUUAUAAUGUUAUGGACAUUAAAACAUUGUUGAAUGAGACUUUGAUUUCAUUAGAAAUUGAAGAUGUUAUGUGCAUGUAUACUAAUUAGAUAUCUAAUUAAAAUCAUCUUGUAUUUUAUCUUGAAAUUUAUUUUUAUUUAUCGUGUAAUUUAUCUAAUUAACAAAAUUAUAUUGUAUAAUAUUUAUCUUUUAUUUAAUAAAAUUUGGAUUAUUUUAUUUAUUAUUUUGGAUUGUAUAAUAUUUAUCUUUUAUUUGAUACAAUUUGUUAAGGGAUAAUAAUUAUCUUUGUUAUUUUCUUUUGGAAUUUUAUUGGCUUAUAUAUAAUAACACUAGUUUGGAAUUGUUAUAUCUAUCAUGUAUUUAUAUUUUUACAUUUUUAACGAUUUAAAAAUUAAAAAUUUUAAAUUUAAAUCAAUAAAUUCAAAUCAAAAUAUUUUGCAUCUAAACUUUCAAAUUCAAAUUAAGUUUUAAAACAUAAAUUAAAGAUUGAACUUUGUAGAAUUUUUUUAUUUCUUUAUUUAUUUCCUUUUUUAAAGCUUUUUGUUUUUUUUUACUUUUUAUACAUUUUCCUAAUUAUUCAUUUAUUAUAUUUUUGUUAUAUAGUAUCUUUUUCUUUUUCUUUUUUUUUACAAAAAACCUUCUUUCUUAUCUUCAUUAUAUUAUUCUUUCACUACUUAUUUUCUUUUUUACUUUGAUUUUUUUGUUGCUCUAAUCUAAUUGGUCAUUUACAUUAUUUUCUAUUAUUUUUUUUCUUUUGUACUCUUUUUACUUUUUAUCUUUAUUUUUUUCAUUUUUUUUCUUAAGGUUUUUUUUGCUUCUUUUUAAUUUGUGUUUUUAUCCACACUUCUUUCUUUUGUUUUUAUUUUUUAUUAACUUUUUUCUUUUUUAAUUUUUUAUCAUUGAUUUUUUUAUAUCUUUUAUUUCUUAUUAUUGUUAUAUUUUUUAUUUUUCGUUUGAUUUUAUAAACUAAAAUUUUUUCUAUUGUCUUUUUCUUUUCUUUUUUUCAUUUUAUUAGUUUUGUAUUUUUUUAAUUUUCUUACCUUUUUUAAUUGCGUUUUUGUUUAUUUUUAAUUUUUCUCUUUUUAGUACUUAUUUUAUCUUUUUCCUUUGCUUUACUAAUCUUUUAUUUUUUAUUGUUAAUUUUUGUUAUUUUUUAUAAAAAUUUUAUAAUGUUAUGGAUAUUUACUUUAUUUUUAAUCUUUUCUUCUUUUGGUUUGUUUCAUUUUUUUUGCUAUUAUCUAUUCUAUUUUUAUUAAUUUUUCAUUAAUUCCUUUUUUCUUUUAAUUUAUUUGUUCAUUUGCUUUCAUUCUUUUUGUUUUAAUUAUUUUUAUAUAUUUUGUAUUUUCAUUUUUUAUUGUUUUCUUGCUUUUUCUUAUAUCUUUUUGUUCACACUUUUUUUUAUUCCUUCUUUACAAUUUUUGAAAUCUUAGACUUUUGUUUUUUUGUGAACUUCCUUUUGAUUUUAUUUAUAUUUUGUAUUGACUUUUAUUUUACUUUUUGUCUUUGAUUUUUUAUGUCUUUUUUCUACAUUUGUUAUUUUUUUUUGUUUUUCUUUGUAUAUUCUAAACGAAAAUUUUUUUCUAUUUUAUAUUUGAAAUUUUUAUUCAUUUUAUCGUUUUAUAUUUUUUUAUUUUCUUACUUUUUUACUUUUUGUUUUUGUUUAUUUUUAAUUGUUAUUUUUUUAGUAUUUUAUUUUAUUUUUUCAUUUAUAUUAAAUUUUUUUCAAUUUUUGUAUUUUUGAUUCAUUAUUUUUAUUAUCUUACCUUUUAUAUUUUUAUUGUAUUUUUGUUUCUUUUAUUUUUUUGUUUUACUUUAAUAUUGUUUUCUUAUUUUAUUUUUAUUUUUUAUUUCUUUCUUUAUUUAAAUUUUCAUAAAUUUUUAGAAUGUUUUGGAUUUUUUAUUUUUCAUAAAUCUUUUGUCUUUUCAUUUUUAUUCUUUUCUUAAAUUUUUUCACAAAUUUCUUUUUAUUUCUUAUUUUCAUUUUCAAAUUCUCAUAGUUUCUUUUGUUGCAUUUUCUUCUUUGGUUUUCAUUUUUAUUUUGAAUUAACUUUUCUCCCUUUUAAUUUUUUGUCUUUGAUUUUUUAUAUUGUUUUCUUAUUAUUUCUUAUAUGUUUUUCAAUUUUUUGUAUUUUUUAAAAUAUUUUUUUCUAUUUUGUCAUUUCCUUUCAUUUUUGAAAUUUUUAUUCAAUUUUUGUCUUUUUUUAUUCAUUAUUUUUUAUUUUCUUACUUUUUAUAUUUUUUAUUGUAUUUUUGUUUAUUUUAUAUUUUUUGUUUUGCUUUAAUAUUUUUUUCUUAUUUUUAUUUUUUAUUUCUUUCUUUAUUUAUAUUUUCAUAAAUUUUUAUAAUGUUUUGGAUUUUUUUAUUUUUCUAUCUUUUUUUCUUUUCUUUUUUUAUUUAUCAUUGUUGGUUAUUUUCUAUUGUAUUUUUAUAAUUUUUCAUUAACUCCUUUUCCUUUUUUUACAUAUUUUUUUUUUGUUUUCACUUUUUUCUUUGUUUUAAAAUUUUCUAUAAAACUUUUUUCUUUUUGUUUUAUUUCAUAUUUUUGCCUCUUCAUUUUUUAUUUUUUUCUUGUUUUUCUAAUUUUUUCACAAAUUUCUUUUUAUUUCUUGUUUCCAUUUUUUUUUUACACUUCCUUGUUUUGUUUUUAUUUUUAUUUUGUUUUAACUUUUCCCUCUGUUAAUUUUUGUAUCUUUGAUUUUUUUUAUUUUUUCUUAUUACAUUAUUUUUGCUUGUAUUUUCUAAAUUAAUUUUUUUCUACUUUCUCAUCCCUUUUCAUUUUUGAACUUCUUUUAAUUUUUAUCUUUGAUUUUUAUAUCUUUAUAUCUUAUUAUUUGUUAUAUUUUUUAUUUUUUGUUUGUUAUUUUGUAAACUUAUUUUUUUCAUUUUUAUUAGUUUUUGUAUUUUUUUUUAAAUUUUUUGACUCAUUUUUCUUUUCCUUACUUCUUUAUUUUUUUUUUUUCUCUUUUAUUACUUAUUUUAUCUUUUUCCUUUUGCUUUAAUACUUUCUCUUUUUUUUUCCUUACUUUUUUAAUUUUUGUUAUUUUUUAUAAAAUUUAUAAUGUUAUGGAUAUUUACUUUAUAUUUUAAUCUUUUUUUCUUUGUUUGUCUCAUUUUUGCUGUCAUUUUUAUAUUUUUGUAUUUUCUAUUCUAUUUUAUAAUUCUUCAGUAAUUUUUUUUUUUUUUCUUUUAACUUAUUUGUAUCUUAUUUUUCUUGGUUUGUUCUUUGCUUGGUAUUUUUCUAUUUUUUUGUAUGUUCUUAUUUUUAUAUUCUAUUUUAUUUUAAUUCUUUUUCUUUUUCUUUUAACUUAUUUUAAAAUCUCAAGACUUCUCUUUUUGUGUACUUCCUUUUGCUUUUGUUUAUAUUUUGUAUUGACUUUUUAUUUUAUUUUUUAUCUUUGAUUAUUUGUCCUUUUUUUAUUUUGUUAUAUUUUUUUUUUGUUUCUCUUUGUAUAUUCUAAACUAAAAGUUUUUUCUAUUUUAUAUUUCAAAUUUUUCUUCACUUCGUCUUUUUAUAUUUUUUUAUUUUCUUCCUUUUUUAUUUUUUGUUUUUGUUUAUUUUUUUCUUUUAUAUUAAUAUUUUCUUAAUUAUUUUUCAUUUUCUUAUUUUGUCUUUUUUUUUCCUAUUUUUUGUUCUAUUUUAUAACUUUUCAAAAACUUUUUUCCAUCGAAAUUUCUUUCUUUUUGCUUUUUUUUUUUUCACAUGCUUUCAUUUUUAUUUUAUUUCAUUGUUUUAAUAUUUUUUACUUCUUGUUUCUUUUUAUUUCAAAUCUUUUGUCUUUCAUUUUUAUUCUAAUCUUGCUUUUCUUAUUUUUUUUCCCAAAUUUCUUUUUAUUUCUUAUUUGCGUUUUUAAAUUCUCGUACUUUUUUUUUUCAAUUUCUCUUUUGGUUUUCAUUUUUAUUUUGCAAUAACUUCUCUUUUUUAAUUUUUUGUCUUUGACUUUUUCUAUUGUUUUUCUUGUUAUUUCUUAUAUGUUUUUCAAUUUUUGUUAUUUUUAAAACUAAUUUUUUUAUUUGUCAUUCUUUUUCACUUUCUAAAUUUUUAUUCAAUUUUUGUAUUUUUGAUUAAUUAUUUUUUAUUUUCUUACUUUUUAUAUUUUUAUUGUAUUUUUGUUUAUUUUUUAUUUUUUUAUUUUUUUGUUUUACUUUAAUAUUCUUUUCUUAUUUUAUUUUUAUUUCUUUCUUUAUUUAAAUUUUCAUAAAUCUUUUGUCUUUUCAUUUUUAUUAUUUUCUUAAUUUUUUCACAAAUUUCUUUUUAUUUCUUAUUUUCAUUUUCAAAUUCUUAUAGUUUUUUUGUUGCAUUUUCUUCUUUGGUUUUCAUUUUUAUUUUGCAUUAACUUUUCUCUUUUUUAAUCUUUUGUCUUUGAUUUUUUAUAUUGUUUUCUUAAUAUUUCUUAUAUGUUUUUCGAUUUUUUGUAUUUUUUAAAAUAUUUUUUUUCUAUUUUGUCAUUUCCUUUCAUUUUUGAAAUUUUUAUUCAAAUUUUGUCUUUUUUUAUUUUUGUUUUUGAUUCUUAUUUUUAUUUUCUUACUUUUAUAUUUUUUUCUUAUUUUUUAAUUUUUAUUUUCUUCUUUAUUUAUAUUUUCAUAAAUUUUUAUAAUGUUUUUUGAUUUUUUAUCUUUUAUCUUUUCUUUUUUUAUUUAUCGUUGUUGGUUAUUUCUAUUGUAUUUUUAAUUUUCCAUUAACUCCUUUUCCUUUUAAAUUUUUCCCUUUUUUUACUUGUUUUUUCAUGUGCUUUCAUAUUUUUUUUUUGUUUUCACUUUUUUCUUUGUUUUAAAAUUUUCUAUAAAACUUUUUUUCUUUUGUUUUAUUUCAUAUUUUUGCCUCUUCAUUUUUUAUUUUUUCUUGUUUUUCGAAUUUUUUUCACAAAAUUCUUUUAUUUCUUGUUUCCAUUUUUUUUUUUUUGCACUUCCUUGUUUUGUUUUUAUUUUUAUUUUGUUUUAACUUUUCCCUCUGUUAAUUUUUGUAUCUUUGAUUUUUUUUAUUUUUUUCUUAUUACAUUAUUUUUGCUUGUAUUUUCUAAAUUAAAUUUUUUCUACUUUGUCAUCCCUUUUCAUUUUUUAACUUCUUUUAAUUUUUUAUCUCUGAUUUUUAUAUCUUUAUAUCUUAUUAUUUGUUAUAUUUUUAUUUUUUGUUUGUAUUUUAUAAACUAAAUUUGUUUUCUAUUUUGUCAUUUUUUCUUCAUUUUUGAAAUUUUUAUUAGCUUUUGUAUUUUACAAUUUUUUCUUUUGACUCGUUAAUUUUUCAUUUCCUCACUUUUUUAUUUUUUCUAUUUUGUGCUCUUUUUAAUUUUUUUUUUCUUUUUUAAUGCUUAUUUUAUCUUUUUUCCUUUCGCUUUAAUAUUUUCUCUUUUUUUUCCUUUUAUUUUUUAUUUUUAUUUUUUUUUUUUUAUAAAAUUUUAUAAUGUUAUGGACAUUAAAACAUUGUUGAAUGAGACUUUGAUUUCAUUAGAAAUUGAAGAUGUUAUGUGCAUGUAUACUAAUUAGAUAUCUAAUUAAAAUCAUCUUGUAUUUUAUCUUGAAAUUUAUUUUUAUUUAUCGUGUAAUUUAUCUAAUUAACAAAAUUAUAUUGUAUAAUAUUUAUCUUUUAUUUAAUAAAAUUUGGAUUAUUUUAUUUAUUAUUUUGGAUUGUAUAAUAUUUAUCUUUUAUUUGAUACAAUUUGUUAAGAGAUAAUAAUUAUCUUUGUUAUUUUCUUUUGGAAUUUUAUUGGCUUAUAUAUAAUAACACUAGUUUGGAAUUGUUAUAUCUAUCGUGUAUUUAUAUUUUUACAUUUUUAACGAUUUAAAAAUUAAAAAUUUUAAAUUUAAAUCAAUAAAUUCAAAUCAAAAUAUUUUGCAUCUAAACUUUCAAAUUCAAAUUAAGUUUUAAAACAUAAAUUAAAGAUUGAACUUUGUAGAAUUUUUUUAUUUCUUUAUUUAUUUCCUUUUUUAAAGCUUUUUGUUUUUUUUUACUUUUUAUACAUUUUCCUAAUUAUUCAUUUAUUAUAUUUUUGUUAUAUAUCUUUUUCUUUUUUUUUUUUUUUUUUUACAAAAAACCUUCUUUCUUAUCUUCAUUAUAUUAUUCUUUCACUACUUAUUUUCUUUUUUACUUUGAUUUUUUUGUUGCUCUAAUCUAAUUGGUCAUUUACAUUAUUUUCUAUUAUUUUUUUCUUUUUGUACUCUUACUUUUAUCUUUUUUUUUUUUUUUUCUUUUUUUUUCUUAAGGUUUUUCUUCUUUUUAAUUUGUGUUUUUUAUCCACACUUCUUUCUUUUGUUUUUAUUUUUUAUUAACUUUUUUCUUUUUUUAAUUUUUUAUCAUUGAUUUUUUUAUAUCUUUAUUUCUUAUUAUUUGUUAUAUUUUUAUUUUUCGUUUGUAUUUUAUAAACUAAAAUUUUUUCUAUUGUCUUUUUCUUUUCUUUUUUCAUUUUUAUUAGUUUUUUAUUUUUUUUUAAUUUUCUUACUUUUUUAAUUGCGUUUUUGUUUAUUUUUAAUUUUUCUCUUUUUUAGUACUUAUUUUAUCUUUUUCCUUUUGCUUUACUAAUCUUUUAUUUUUUAUUGUUAAUUUUUGUUAUUUUUUAUAAAAAUUUUAUAAUGUUAUGGAUAUUUACUUUUAUUUUUUAAUCUUUUCUUCUUUUGGUUUGUUUCAUUUUUUUUGCUAUUAUCUAUUCUAUUUUUAUAAUUUUUCAUUAAUUCCUUUUUUUCUUUUAAUUUAUUUGUUCAUUUGCUUUCAUUCUUUUUGUUUUAAUUAUUUUUAUAUAUUUUGUAUUUUCAUUUUUUAUUGUUUUCUUGCUUUUUCUUAUAUCUUUUUGUUCACACUUUUUUUUAUUCCUUCUUUACAAUUUUAAAAUCUUAGACUUUUGUUUUUUUGUGAACUUCCUUUUGAUUUUAUUUAUAUUUUGUAUUGACUUUUAUUUUACUUUUUGUCUUUGAUUUUUUAUGUCUUUUUUUCUACAUUUGUUUUUUUUUUUUGUUUUUCUUUGUAUAUUCUAAACGAAAAUUUUUUUCUAUUUUAUUUGAAAUUUUUAUUCAUUUUAUCGUUUUAUAUUUUUUUAUUCUCUAAUUUUUUAUUUUCUUACUUUUUUACUUUUUGUUUUUGUUUAUUUUUAAUUGUUAUUUUUUUAGUAUUUUAUUUUAUUUUUUCAUUUAUAUUAAAUUUUUUUUCAAUUUUUGUAUUUUUGAUUCAUUAUUUUUUAUUAUCUUACCUUUUAUAUUUUUAUUGUAUUUUUGUUUCUUUUAUUUUUUUUGUUUUACUUUAAUAUUGUUUUCUUAUUUUAUUUUUAUUUUUUAUUUCUUUCUUUAUUUAAAUUUUCAUAAAUUUUUAGAAUGUUUUGGAUUUUUUAUUUUUCGUAAAUCUUUUGUCUUUUCAUUUUUAUUCUUUUCUUAAAUUUUUUCACAAAUUUCUUUUUAUUUCUUAUUUUCAUUUUCAAAUUCUUAUAGUUUCUUUUGUUGCAUUUUCUUCUUUGGUUUUCAUUUUUAUUUUGAAUUACCUUUUCUCUCUUUUAAUUUUUUGUCUUUGAUUUUUUAUAUUGUUUUCUUAUUAUUUCUUAUAUGUUUUUCAAUUUUUUGUAUUUUUAAAAUAUUUUUUCUAUUUUGUCAUUUCCUUUCAUUUUUGAAAUUUUUAUUCAUUUUUGUCUUUUUUAUUCAUUAUUUUUUAUUUUCUUACUUUUUAUAUUUUUUAUUGUAUUUUUGUUUAUUUUAUAUUUUUGUUUGCUUAAUAUUUUUUUCUUAUUUUUAUUUUUUAUUUCUUUCUUUAUUUAUAUUUCAUUAAUUUUUAUAAUGUUUUGGAUUUUUUUAUUUUUCUAUCUUUUUUCUUUCUUUUUUAUUUAUCAUUGUUGGUUAUUUUCUAUUGUAUUUUUAUAAAUUUUCCAUUAACUCCUUUUCCUUUUUUUACAUAUUUUUUUUUUGUUUUCACUUUUUUCUUUGUUUUAAAAUUUUCUAUAAAACUUUUUUUCUUUUUGUUUUAUUUCAUAUUUUUGCCUCUUCAUUUUUUUAUUUUUUCUUGUUUUUCUAAUUUUUUCACAAAUUCUUUUUAUUUCUUGUUUCCAUUUUUUUUUACACUUCCUUAUUUUGUUUUUUUUGUUUAACUUUUCCCUCUGUUAAUUUUGUAUCUUGAUUUUUUUUAUUUUUUUCUUAUUACAUUAUUUUUGCUUGUAUUUUCUAAAUUAAUUUUUUUCUACUUUCUCAUCCCUUUUCAUUUUUGAACUUCUUUUAAUUUUUUAUCUUUGAUUUUUUAUAUCUUAUAUCUUAUUAUUGUUAUAUUUUUUAUUUUUGUUUGUAUUUUGUAAACUUAAUUUUUUUCAUUUUUAUUAGUUUUGUAUUUUUUUUUAAAAUUUUUUGACUCAUUUUUCUUUCCUUACUUCUUUAUUUUUUUAUUUUCUUUUUUUUAUUACUUAUUUUAUCUUUUUCCUUUUGCUUUAAUACUUUCUCUUAUUUUUUUCCCUUUUACUUUUUUUGUUAAUUUUUGUUAUUUUUUAUAAAAAUUUUAUAAUGUUAUGGAUAUUUACUUUAUAUUUUAAUCUUUUUUCUUUUGGUUUGUCUCAUUUUUGCUGUCAUUUUUAUAUUUUUGGUAUUUUCUAUUCUAUUUUUAUAAUUCUUCAGUAAUUCUUUUUUUCUUUUUCUUUUAACUUAUUUGUUCAUUUGCUUUCUCUUUUUUGUUUUAAUUUUUUUAUAUUUUUGUAUUUAAUUUUUAUUUUUCUUGCUUUUUCUUAUAUCUUUUUGUUCACAUUUUUUUUUAUUUCUUCUUUACAAUUUUAAAAUCUCAAGACUUCUCUUUUUGUGUACUUCCUUUUGCUUUUAUUUAUAUUUUGUAUUGACUUUUUAUUUUAUUUUUUAUCUUUGAUUAUUUGUCUUUUUUUUAUUUUGUUAUAUUUUUUUUGUUUCUCUUUGUAUAUUCUAAACUAAAAGUUUUUUCUAUUUUAUAUUUCAAAUUUUUCUUCACUUCGUCUUUUUAUAUUUUUUUAUUAGCUAAUUUUUUAUUUUCUUCCUUUUUUAUUUUUGUUUAUUUUUUUCUUUUAUAUUAAUAUUUUUAUUUUUAUUUUUUCAUUUUCUUAUUUUGUCUUUUUUUUUUCCUAUUUUUUGUUCUAUUUUAUAACUUUUCAAAAACUUUUUUCCAUCAAAAUUUUCUUUCUUUUUGCUUUUUUUUUUUUCACAUGCUUUCAUUUUUAUUUUAUUUCAUUGUUUUAAUAUUUUUUACUUUCUUGUUUUCUUUUUUAUUUCAAAUCUUUUGUCUUUUCAUUUUAUUCUAUUCUUGCUUUUCUUUUUUUUUUUCCCAAAUUUCUUUUUAUUUCUUAUUUGCGUUUUUAAAUUCUCGUACUUUUUUUUUUCAAUUUCUCCUUUGGUUUUCAUUUUUAUUUUGCAAUAACUUCUCUUUUUUUAAUUUUUUGUCUUUGACUUUUUCUAUUGUUUUCUUGUUAUUUCUUAUAUGUUUUUCAAUUUUUUGUAUUUUUAAAACUAAUUUUUUUUAUUUUGUCAUUCUUUUUCACUUUCUAAAUUUUUAUUCAAUUUUUGUAUUUUUGAUUAAUUAUUUUUUAUUUUCUUACUUUUUAUAUUUUUAUUGUAUUUUUGUUUAUUUUUUAUUUUUUAUUUUUUUUGUUUUACUUUAAUAUUCUUUUCUUAUUUUAUUUUUAUUUGGUUUAUUUUUAUUUCUUUCUUUAUUUAAAUUUUCAUAAAUGUUUAGAUGUUUUGGAUUUUUUAUUUUUCAUAAAUCUUUUGUCUUUUCAUUUUUAUUAUUUUCUUAAUUUUUUCACAAUUUCUUUUUAUUUCUUAUUUUCAUUUUCAAAUUCUUAUACUUUUUUGUUGCAUUUUCUUCUUUGGUUUUCAUUUUUAUUUUGCAUUAACUUUUCUCUUUUUUAAUCUUUUGUCUUUGAUUUUUAUAUUGUUUUCUUAUUAUUCUUAUAUGUUUUUCGAUUUUUUGUAUUUUUUAAAAUAUUUUUUUUCUAUUUUGUCAUUUCCUUUCAUUUUUGAAAUUUUUAUUCAAUUUUUGUCUUUUUUUAUUUUUUGUUUUUGAUUCCUUAUUUUUUAUUUUCUUACUUUUUAUAUUUUUUAUUGUAUUUUUGUUUAUUUACAUUUUAUAUUUUUUUCUUUAUUUAUAUUUUCAUAAAUUUUUAUAAUGUUUUGGAUUUUUUUAUCUUUUCUUUUUUUAUUUAUCGUUGUUGGUUAUUUUCUAUUGUAUUUUUAUAAUUUUCCAUUAACUCCUUUUCCUUUUAAAUUUUUCCCUUUUUUUACUUGUUUUUUCAUGUGCUUUCAUAUUUUUUCUUUGCUUUAAAAUUUUCUAUAAAACUUUUUUUCUUUUUGUUUUAUUUCAUAUUUUUGCCUCUUCAUUUUUUAUUUUUUCUUGUUUUUCGAAUUUUUUUCACAAAAUUCUUUUAUUUCUUGUUUCCAUUUUUUUUUUUUUGCACUUCCUUGUUUUGUUUUUAUUUUUAUUUUGUUUUAACUUUCCCUCUGUUAAUUUUUGUAUCUUUGAUUUUUUUAUUUUUUCUUAUUACAUUAUUUUUGCUUGUAUUUUCUAAAUUAAAUUUUUUUCUACUUUGUCAUCCCUUUUCAUUUUUUAACUUCUUUUAAUUUUUUAUCUCUGAUUUUUUAUAUCUUUAUAUCUUAUUAUUUGUUAUAUUUUUAUUUUUGUUUGUAUUUUAUAAACUAAAUUUGUUUUCUAUUUUGUCAUUUUUUCUUCGUUUUUGAAAUUUUUAUUAGCUUUUGUAUUUUUACAAUUUUUUCUUUUGACUCGUUAAUUUUUCAUUUCCUCACUUUUUUAUUUUUUUUUCUCUUUUUUAAUGCUUAUUUUAUCUUUUUUCCUUUCGCUUUAAUAUUUUCUCUUUUUUUUCCUUUUAUUUUUUAUUUUUAAUUUUUGUUAUUUUGUUUUUUUAUAAAAAUUUAUAAUGUUAUGGACAUUAAAACAUUGUUGAAUGAGACUUUGAUUUCAUUAGAAAUUGAAGAUGUUAUGUGCAUGUAUACUAAUUAGAUAUCUAAUUAAAAUCAUCUUGUAUUUAUCUUGAAAUUUAUUUUUAUUUAUCGUGUAAUUUAUCUAAUUAACAAAAUUAUAUUGUAUAAUAUUUAUCUUUUAUUUAAUAAAAUUUGGAUUAUUUUAUUUAUUAUUUUGGAUUGUAUAAUAUUUAUCUUUUAUUUGAUACAAUUUGUUAAGAGAUAAUAAUUAUCUUUGUUAUUUUCUUUUGGAAUUUUAUUGGCUUAUAUAUAAUAACACUAGUUUGGAAUUGUUAUAUCUAUCAUGUAUUUAUAUUUUUACAUUUUUAACGAUUUAAAAAUUAAAAAUUUUAAAUUUAAAUCAAUAAAUUCAAAUCAAAAUAUUUUGCAUCUAAACUUUCAAAUUCAAAUUAAGUUUUAAAACAUAAAUUAAAGAUUGAACUUUGUAGAAUUUUUUUAUUUCUUUAUUUAUUUCCUUUUUUAAAGCUUUUUGUUUUUUUUUACUUUUUAUACAUUUUCCUAAUUAUUCAUUUAUUAUAUUUUUGUUAUAUAGUAUAUUUUUCUUUUCUUUUUUUUUUUACAAAAAACCUUCUUUCUUAUCUUCAUUAUAUUAUUCUUUCACUACUUAUUUUCUUUUUUACUUUGAUUUUUUUGUUGCUCUAAUCUAAUUGGUCAUUUACAUUAUUUUCUAUUAUUUUUUUUUCUUUUUGUACUCUUUUUACUUUUUAUCUUUAUUUUUUUCAUUUUUUUUUCUUAAGGUUUUUCUUCUUUUUAAUUGUGUUUUUUUCCACACUUCUUUCUUUUGUUUUUAUUUUUUAUUAACUUUUUUCUUUUUUUAAUUUUUUAUCAUUGAUUUUUUUUUUUAUCUUUAUUUCUUAUUAUUUGUUAUAUUUUUUAUUUUUCGUUUGUAUUUUAUAAACUAAAAUUUUUUCUAUUGUCUUUUUCUUUUUAUUUUUUUUAAUUUUCUUACUUUUUUUAAUUGCGUUUUUGUUUAUUUUUAAUUUUUCUCUUUUUUAGUACUUAUUUUAUCUUUUUCCUUUUAUUUUUUAUAAUAAUUUUUGUUAUUUUUUAUAAAAAUUUUAUAAUGUUAUGGAUAUUUACUUUUAUUUUUUAAUCUUUCCUUCUUUUGGUUUGUUUCAUUUUUUUUGCUAUUAUCUAUUCUAUUUUUAUAAUUUUUCAUUAAUUCCUUUUUUUCUUUUAAUUUAUUUGUUCAUUUGCUUUCAUUCUUUUUGUUUUAAUUAUUUUUAUAUAUUUUGUAUUUUCAUUUUUUAUUGUUUUCUUGCUUUUUCUUAUAUCUUUUUGUUCACGCUUUUUUUUAUUCCUUCUUUACAAUUUUAAAAUCUUAGACUUUUGUUUUUUUGUGAACUUCCUUUUGAUUUUAUUUAUAUUUUGUAUUGACUUUUAUUUUAUUUUUUGUCUUUGAUUUUUUAUGUCUUUUUUUCUACAUUUGUUAUUUUUUUUUGUUUUUCUUUGUAUAUUCUAAACGAAAAUUUUUUUCUAUUUUAUAUUUGAAAUUUUUAUUCAUUUUAUCGUUUUAUAUUUUUUUAUUCUCUAAUUUUUUAUUUUCUUACUUUUUUACUUUUUGUUUUUGUUUAUUUUUAAUUGUUAUUUUUUUAGUAUUUUAUUUUAUUUUUCAUUUAUAUUAAAUUUUUUUUCAAUUUUUGUAUUUUUGAUUCAUUAUUUUUUAUUAUCUUACCUUUUAUAUUUUUAUUGUAUUUUUGUUUCUUUUAUUUUUUUUGUUUUACUUUAAUAUUGUUUUCUUAUUUUAUUUUUAUUUUUUAUUUCUUUCUUUAUUUAAAUUUUCAUAAAUUUUUAGAAUGUUUUGGAUUUUUUAUUUUUCAUAAAUCUUUUGUCUUUUCAUUUUUAUUCUUUUCUUAAAUUUUUUCACAAAUUUCUUUUAUUUCUUAUUUUCAUUUUCAAAUUCUUAUAGUUUUUUUGUUGCAUUUUCUUCUUUGGUUUUCAUUUUUAUUUUGAAUUAACUUUUCUCUCUUUUAAUUUUUUGUCUUUGAUUUUUUAUAUUGUUUUCUUAUUAUUUCUUAUAUGUUUUUCAUUUUUUGUAUUUUUUAAAAUAUUUUUUUCUAUUUUGUCAUUUCCUUUCAUUUUUGAAAUUUUUAUUCAAUUUUUGUCUUUUUUAUUCAUUAUUUUUUAUUUUCUUACUUUUUAUAUUUUUUAUUGUAUUUUUGUUUAUUUUAUAUUUUUUGUUUUGCUUUAAUAUUUUUAUUUUUUAUUUCUUUCUUAUUUAUAUUUUCAUAAAUUUUUAUAAUGUUUUGGAUUUUUUAUUUUUCUAUCUUUUUUCUUUUCUUUUUUUAUUUAUCAUUGUUGGUUAUUUUCUAUUGUAUUUUUAUAAUUUUUCGUUAACUCCUUUUCCUUUUUUUACAUUUUUUUUUUUGUUUUUCACUUUUUUCUUUGUUUUUAAAAUUUUCUAUAAAACAUUUUUUCCUUUUUGUUUUAUUUUCAUAAUUUUUUGCCUCUUCAUUUUUAUUUUUUUCUUGUUUUUCUAAUUUUUUUUUCACAAAAUUCUUUUUUUUCUUUGUUCCAUUUUUUUUUUACACUUCCUUAUUUUGUUUUUAUUUUUAUUUUUGUUUUAAACUUUUCCCUCUGUUAAUUUUUGUAUCUUUGAUUUUUUUUAUUUUUUUCUAUUACAAUUAUUUUGCUUGAUUUUCUAAAUUAAAUUUUUUUUCUAGCUUUGUCAUCACCUUUUUCAUUUUUAACUUCUUUUUAAUUUUUUAAUCUCUGAUUUUUUAUAUCUUUAUAUCUUAUUAUUUGUUAUAUUUUUUAUUUUUGUUUGUAUUUAUAAACUAAAUUGUUUCUAUUUUGUCCAUUUUUCUUCGUUUUUGAAAUUUUUAUCGGCUUUUGUAUUUUACAAUUUUUUCUUUUGACUCGUUAAUUUUUCAUUUCCUCACUUUUUUAUUUUUUUCUCUUUUUAAUGCUUAUUUAUCUUUUUCCUUCGCUUUAAUAUUUUCUCUUUUUUUUCCUUUUAUUUUUUAUUUUUAAUUUUUGUUAUUUUGUUUUUUUAUAAAAAUUUUAUAAUGUUAUGGACAUUAAAACAUUGUUGAAUGAGACUUUGAUUUCAUUAGAAAUUGAAGAUGUUAUGUGCAUGUAUACUAAUUAGAUAUCUAAUUAAAAUCAUCUUGUAUUUUAUCUUGAAAUUCAUUUUUAUUUAUCGUGUAAUUUAUCUAAUUAACAAAAUUAUAUUGUAUAAUAUUUAUCUUUUAUUUAAUAAAAUUUGGAUUAUUUUAUUUAUUAUUUUGGAUUGUAUAAUAUUUAUCUUUUAUUUGAUACAAUUUGUUAAGAGAUAAUAAUUAUCUUUGUUAUUUUCUUUUGGAAUUUUAUUGGCUUAUAUAUAAUAACACUAGUUUGGAAUUGUUAUAUCUAUCCAUGUAUUUAUAUUUUUUACAUUUUUAACGAUUUAAAAAUUAAAAAUUUUAAAUUUAAAUCAAUAAAUUCAAAUCAAAAUAUUUUGCAUCUAAACUUUCAAAUUCAAAUUAAGUUUUAAAACAUAAAUUAAAGAUUGAACUUUGUAGAAUUUUUUUAUUUCUUUAUUUAUUUCCUUUUUAAAGCUUUUUGUUUUUUUUUUACUUUUUAUACAUUUUCCUAAUUAUUCAUUUAUUAUAUUUUUGUUAUAUACUAUCUUUUUCUUUUUCUUUUUUUUUACAAAAACCUUCUUUCUUAUCUUCAUUAUAUUAUUCUUUCACUACUUAUUUUCUUUUUUACUUUGAUUUUUUUUGUUGCUCUAAUCUAAUUGGUCAUUUACAUUAUCUUCUAUUAUUUUUUUUCUUUUUGUACUCUUUUUACUUUUUAUCUUUAUUUUUUUUCAUUUUUUUUUCUUAAGGUUUUUCUUCUUUUUAAUUUGUGUUUUUUAUCCACACUUCUUUCUUUUGUUUUUAUUUUUUAUUAACUUUUUUCUUUUUUAAUUUUUUAUCAUUGAUUUUUUUAUAUCUUUAUUUCUUAUUAUUUGUUAUAUUUUUUUAUUUUUCGUUUGUAUUUUAUAAACUAAAAUUUUUUCUAUUGUCUUUUUCUUUUCUUUUUUCAUUUUUAUUAGUUUUUGUAUUUUUUUUAAUUUUCUUACUUUUUUUAAUUGCGUUUUUUGUUUAUUUUUAAUUUUUCUCUUUUUUAGUACUUAUUUUAUCUUUUUCCUUUUGCUUUACUAAUCUUUUAUUUUAUUUUUCCUUUUAUUUUUUAUUGUUAAUUUUUGUUAUUUUUAUAAAAAUUUUAUAAUGUUAUGGAUAUUUACUUUUAUUUUUUAAUCUUUUCUUCUUUUGGUUUGUUUCAUUUUUUUUGCUAUUAUCUAUUCUAUUUUAUAAUUUUUCAUUAAUUCCUUUUUUUCUUUUAAUUUAUUUGUUCAUUUGCUUUCAUUCUUUUUGUUUUAAUUAUUUUUAUAUAUUUUGUAUUUUCAUUUUUUAUUGUUUUCUUGCUUUUUCUUAUAUCUUUUUGUUCACACUUUUUUUUAUUCCUUCUUUACAAUUUUAAAAUCUUAGACUUUUGUUUUUUUGUGAACUUCCUUUUGAUUUUAUUUAUAUUUUGUAUUGACUUUUAUUUUACUUUUUGUCUUUGAUUUUUUAUGUCUUUUUUUCUACAUUUGUUAUUUUUUUUUUGUUUUUCUUUGUAUAUUCUAAACGAAAAUUUUUUUCUAUUUUAUAUUCGAAAUUUUUAUUCAUUUUAUCGUUUUAUAUUUUUUUAUUCUCUAAUUUUUUAUUUUCUUACUUUUUUACUUUUUGUUUUUGUUUAUUUUUAAUUGUUAUUUUUUUAGUAUUUUAUUUUAUUUUUUCAUUUAUAUUAAAUUUUUUUUCAAUUUUUGUAUUUUUGAUUCAUUAUUUUUUAUUAUCUUACCUUUUAUAUUUUUAUUGUAUUUUUGUUUCUUUUAUUUUUUUUGUUUUACUUUAAUAUUGUUUUCUUAUUUUAUUUUUAUUUUUUAUUUCUUUCUUUAUUUAAAUUUUCAUAAAUUUUUAGAAUGUUUUGGAUUUUUUAUUUUUCGUAAAUCUUUUGUCUUUUCAUUUUUAUUCUUUUCUUAAAUUUUUUCACAAAUUUCUUUCUAUUUCUUAUUUUCAUUUUCAAAUUCUUAUAGUUUCUUUUGUUGCAUUUUCUUCUUUGGUUUUCAUUUUUAUUUUGAAUUAACUUUUCUCUCUUUUAAUUUUUUGUCUUUGAUUUUUUAUAUUGUUUUCUUAUUAUUUCUUAUAUGUUUUUCAAUUUUUUGUAUUUUUUAAAAUAUUUUUUUCUAUUUUGUCAUUUCCUUUCAUUUUUGAAAUUUUUAUUCAAUUUUUGUCUUUUUUUAUUCAUUAUUUUUUAUUUUCUUACUUUUUAUAUUUUUUAUUGUAUUUUUGUUUAUUUUAUAUUUUUUGUUUUGCUUUAAUAUUUUUAUUUUUUAUUUCUUUCUUUAUUUAUAUUUUCAUAAAUUUUUAUAAUGUUUUGGAUUUUUUUAUUUUUCUAUCUUUUUUUCUUUUCUUUUUUUAUUUAUCAUUGUUGGUUAUUUUCUAUUGUAUUUUUAUAAUUUUUCGUUAACUCCUUUUCCUUUUUUACAUUUUUUUUUUUGUUUUCACUUUUUUCUUUGUUUUAAAAUUUUCUAUAAAACUUUUUUUCUUUUUGUUUUAUUUCAUAUUUUUGCCUCUUCAUUUUUUAUUUUUUCUUGUUUUUCUAAUUUUUUUCACAAAAUUCUUUUUAUUUCUUGUUUCCAUUUUUUUUUUACACUUCCUUGUUUUGUUUUUAUUUUUAUUUUGUUUUAACUUUUCCCUCUGUUAAUUUUUGUAUCUUUGAUUUUUUUUAUUUUUUCUUAUUACAUUAUUUUUGCUUGUAUUUUCUAAAUUAAAUUUUUUUCUACUUUGUCAUCCCUUUUCAUUUUUUAACUUCUUUUAAUUUUUUAUCUCUGAUUUUUUAUAUCUUUAUAUCUUAUUAUUUGUUAUAUUUUUUAUUUUUUGUUUGUAUUUUAUAAACUAAAUUUGUUUUCUAUUUUGUCAUUUUUUCUUCGUUUUUGAAAUUUUUAUUAGCUUUUGUAUUUUUACAAUUUUUUCUUUUGACUCGUUAAUUUUUCAUUUCCUCACUUUUUUAUUUUUUUUCUCUUUUUUAAUGCUUAUUUUAUCUUUUUUCCUUUCGCUUUAAUAUUUUCUCUUUUUUUUCCUUUUAUUUUUAUUUUUAAUUUUUGUUAUUUUGUUUUUUUAUAAAAAUUUUAUAAUGUUAUGGACAUUAAAACAUUGUUGAAUGAGACUUUGAUUUCAUUAGAAAUUGAAGAUGUUAUGUGCAUGUAUACUAAUUAGAUAUCUAAUUAAAAUCAUCUUGUAUUUUAUCUUGAAAUUCAUUUUUAUUUAUCGUGUAAUUUAUCUAAUUAACAAAAUUAUAUUGUAUAAUAUUUAUCUUUUAUUUAAUAAAAUUUGGAUUAUUUUAUUUAUUAUUUUGGAUUGUAUAAUAUUUAUCUUUUAUUUGAUACAAUUUGUUAAGAGAUAAUAAUUAUCUUUGUUAUUUUCUUUUGGAAUUUUAUUGGCUUAUAUAUAAUAACACUAGUUUGGAAUUGUUAUAUCUAUCAUGUAUUUAUAUUUUUACAUUUUUAACGAUUUAAAAAUUAAAAAUUUUAAAUUUAAAUCAAUAAAUUCAAAUCAAAAUAUUUUGCAUCUAAACUUUCAAAUUCAAAUUAAGUUUUAAAACAUAAAUUAAAGAUUGAACUUUGUAGAAUUUUUUUAUUUCUUUAUUUAUUUCCUUUUUUAAAGCUUUUUGUUUUUUUUUACUUUUUAUACAUUUUCCUAAUUAUUCAUUUAUUAUAUUUUUGUUAUAUACUAUCUUUUUCUUUUUCUUUUUUUUUUACAAAAAACCUUCUUUCUUAUCUUCAUUAUAUUAUUCUUUCACUACUUAUUUUCUUUUUUACUUUGAUUUUUUUUGUUGCUCUAAUCUAAUUGGUCAUUUACAUUAUCUUCUAUUAUUUUUUUUCUUUUUGUACUCUUUUUACUUUUUAUCUUUAUUUUUUUUCAUUUUUUUUUCUUAAGGUUUUUCUUCUUUUUAAUUUGUGUUUUUUAUCCACACUUCUUUCUUUUGUUUUUAUUUUUUAUUAACUUUUUUCUUUUUUUAAUUUUUUAUCAUUGAUUUUUUUAUAUCUUUAUUUCUUAUUAUUUGUUAUAUUUUUUUAUUUUUCGUUUGUAUUUUAUAAACUAAAAUUUUUUCUAUUGUCUUUUUCUUUUCUUUUUUUCAUUUUUAUUAGUUUUUGUAUUUUUUUUAAUUUUCUUACUUUUUUUAAUUGCGUUUUUGUUUAUUUUUAAUUUUUCUCUUUUUUAGUACUUAUUUUAUCUUUUUCCUUUUGCUUUACUAAUCUUUUAUUUUAUUUUUCCUUUUAUUUUUUAUUGUUAAUUUUUGUUAUUUUUUAUAAAAAUUUUAUAAUGUUAUGGAUAUUUACUUUUAUUUUUUAAUCUUUUCUUCUUUUGGUUUGUUUCAUUUUUUUUGCUAUUAUCUAUUCUAUUUUUAUAAUUUUUCAUUAAUUCCUUUUUUUCUUUUAAUUUAUUUGUUCAUUUGCUUUCAUUCUUUUUGUUUUAAUUAUUUUUAUAUAUUUUGUAUUUUCAUUUUUUAUUGUUUUCUUGCUUUUUCUUAUAUCUUUUUGUUCACACUUUUUUUUAUUCCUUCUUUACAAUUUUAAAAUCUUAGACUUUUGUUUUUUUGUGAACUUCCCUUUUGAUUUUAUUUAUAUUUUGUAUUGACUUUUAUUUUACUUUUUGUCUUUGAUUUUUUAUGUCUUUUUUCUACAUUUGUUAUUUUUUUUUUUGUUUUUCUUUGUAUAUUCUAAACGAAAAUUUUUUUCUAUUUUAUAUUCGAAAUUUUUAUUCAUUUUAUCGUUUUAUAUUUUUUUAUUCUCUAAUUUUUUAUUUUCUUACUUUUUUACUUUUUGUUUUUGUUUAUUUUUAAUUGUUAUUUUUUUAGUAUUUUAUUUUAUUUUUUCAUUUAUAUUAAAUUUUUUUUCAAUUUUUGUAUUUUUGAUUCAUUAUUUUUUAUUAUCUUACCUUUUAUAUUUUUAUUGUAUUUUUGUUUCUUUUAUUUUUUUUGUUUUACUUUAAUAUUGUUUUCUUAUUUUAUUUUUAUUUUUUAUUUCUUUCUUUAUUUAAAUUUUCAUAAAUUUUUAGAAUGUUUUGGAUUUUUUAUUUUUCGUAAAUCUUUUGUCUUUUCAUUUUUAUUCUUUUCUUAAAUUUUUUCACAAAUUUCUUUCUAUUUCUUAUUUUCAUUUUCAAAUUCUUAUAGUUUCUUUUGUUGCAUUUUCUUCUUUGGUUUUCAUUUUUAUUUUGAAUUAACUUUUCUCUCUUUUAAUUUUUUGUCUUUGAUUUUUUAUAUUGUUUUCUUAUUAUUUCUUAUAUGUUUUUCAAUUUUUUGUAUUUUUUAAAAUAUUUUUUUCUAUUUUGUCAUUUCCUUUCAUUUUUGAAAUUUUUAUUCAAUUUUUGUCUUUUUUUAUUCAUUAUUUUUUAUUUUCUUACUUUUUAUAUUUUUUAUUGUAUUUUUGUUUAUUUUAUAUUUUUUGUUUUGCUUUAAUAUUUUUAUUUUUUAUUUCUUUCUUUAUUUAUAUUUUCAUAAAUUUUUAUAAUGUUUUGGAUUUUUUUAUUUUUCUAUCUUUUUUUCUUUUCUUUUUUUAUUUAUCAUUGUUGGUUAUUUUCUAUUGUAUUUUUAUAAUUUUUCGUUAACUCCUUUUCCUUUUUUUACAUUUUUUUUUUUGUUUUCACUUUUUUCUUUGUUUUAAAAUUUUCUAUAAAACUUUUUUUCUUUUUGUUUUAUUUCAUAUUUUUGCCUCUUCAUUUUUUAUUUUUUCUUGUUUUUCUAAUUUUUUUCACAAAAUUCUUUUUAUUUCUUGUUUCCAUUUUUUUUUUACACUUCCUUAUUUUGUUUUUAUUUUUAUUUUGUUUUAACUUUUCCCUCUGUUAAUUUUUGUAUCUUUGAUUUUUUUUAUUUUUUUCUUAUUACAUUAUUUUUGCUUGUAUUUUCUAAAUUAAAUUUUUUUCUACUUAGUCAUCCCUUUUCAUUUUUUAACUUCUUUUAAUUUUUUAUCUCUGAUUUUUUAUAUCUUUAUAUCUUAUUAUUUGUUAUAUUUUUUAUUUUUUGUUUGUAUUUUAUAAACUAAAUUUGUUUUCUAUUUUGUCAUUUUUUCUUCGUUUUUGAAAUUUUUAUUAGCUUUUGUAUUUUUACAAUUUUUUCUUUUGACUCGUUAAUUUUUCAUUUCCUCACUUUUUUAUUUUUUUUCUCUUUUUUAAUGCUUAUUUUAUCUUUUUUCCUUUCGCUUUAAUAUUUUCUCUUUUUUUUCCUUUUAUUUUUUAUUUUUAAUUUUUGUUAUUUUGUUUUUUUAUAAAAAUUUUAUAAUGUUAUGGACAUUAAAACAUUGUUGAAUGAGACUUUGAUUUCAUUAGAAAUUGAAGAUGUUAUGUGCAUGUAUACUAAUUAGAUAUCUAAUUAAAAUCAUCUUGUAUUUUAUCUUGAAAUUCAUUUUUAUUUAUCGUGUAAUUUAUCUAAUUAACAAAAUUAUAUUGUAUAAUAUUUAUCUUUUAUUUAAUAAAAUUUGGAUUAUUUUAUUUAUUAU